rnacentral:rRNA from 1 species
UACGUAGGUGGCAAGCGUUGUCCGGAUUUAUUGGGUUUAAAGGGUGCGUAGGCGGUUAUAUAAGUCAGUGCUGAAAUAUCCCCGGCUUAACCGGGAGGGUGGCAUUGAUACUGUACGACUUGAGUAAAGUUGAGGUUGGCGGAAUUGACGGUGUAGCGGUGAAAUGCUUAGAUAUCGUCAAGAACACCGAUUGCGAAGGCAGCUAACUAGCUUACUGACGCUGAGGCACGAAAAGUGUGGGGAUCAAACAGG